UACGGGGGGGGCAAGCGUUGUUCGGAAUUACUGGGCGUAAAGGGCGUGUAGGCGGCCAACUAAGUCCGACGUGAAAUCCCCAGGCUUAACCUGGGAACUGCGUCGGAUACUGGAUGGCUUGAAUCCGGGAGAGGGAUGCAGAAUUCCAGGUGUAGCGGUGAAAUGCGUAGAUAUCUGGAGGAAUACCGGUGGCGAAGGCGGCAUCCUGGACCGGCAUUGACGCUGAAGCGCGAAAGCUAGGGGAUCAAACGGG
rnacentral:rRNA from 1 species